AACGAACGCUGGCGGCAGGCCUAACACAUGCAAGUCGAGCGAGGACUUCGGUCCUAGCGGCGGACGGGUGAGUAACGCGUGGGAACGUGCCCCUUGGUACGGAAUAGCCCCGGGAAACUGGGAGUAAUACCGUAUGAGCUCUACGGAGGAAAGAUUUAUCGCCAAGGGACCGGCCCGCGUUGGAUUAGGUAGUUGGUGGGGUAAUGGCCUACCAAGCCGACGAUCCAUAGCUGGUUUGAGAGGAUGAUCAGCCACACUGGGACUGAGACACGGCCCAGACGCCUGCGGGAGGCAGCAGUGAGGAAUCUUAGACGAUGGGCGCAAGCCUGAUCUGGCCAUGCCGCGUGAGCGAUGAAGGCCUUAGGGUUGUAAAGCUCUUUCAGCUGGGAAGAUAAUGACUGUACCAGCAGAAGAAGCCCCGGCUAACUCCGUGCCAGCAGCCGCGGUAAAAC
rnacentral:rRNA from 1 species